rnacentral:rRNA from 1 species
UGCCAGUUGUUCUGCCAAGGGCAUGGCUGGUUGGCUACGUUCGGGAGGGAUAACCGCUGAAAGCAUCUAAGCGGGAAGCCUGCUUCGAGAUGAGGACUCCCACCCACUUGAUGGGGUAAGGCUCCCAGUAGACGACUGGGUUGAUAGGCCGGAUCUGGAAGCCAGGUAACUGGUGGAGGUGACCGGUACUAAUAGGCCGAGGGCUUGUCCUCAGUUG